GCCUGACGCUCCUUGUUUGCCGGUUGCUGUUACAGACUUGCAAUUGUGCAACUCUGUGAUGUAAACAGGCAGGCUUUGUAUUUUUGCUGUGCCCCUGGAGAAUGGAGAGGGUGGUUCUCUUGGCUGUCUCUGGAACAAAUUUGGAGGAAAGGUCCUGUGAGGGUACAGUGAGAAGAUGGCCAUCUACAAGCCAGGAAGAAAGGCCUAACAGGAAACCAACUCUGCUGGCGCCUUGAUCGUGAACUCCUGCCCUCUAGAACUGGGAGAAAAUAAACGUCUGUUUUUUAAGCCACCUGGUCUGUGGUAUUUUGUUAUGGAAGCCCGAGCAGACCAAUAUGCAUACUAAACUCCAAGUCAAGGAAUAGAAUUAGUCAGUUCGUGGUGGAGUUGCAUUGAUGAUUCCAGAGCGAUUCCUGCUCCUCUUCUUUAAGCCAGUGUGUUUUACCAAAGAUUUUCAGGACAAAGAAAAAUCCAGGCAGUAGGUGCCAAAUACAGUGACUCAUCAGAUGACCUUGCUGUUUAUCUCCAACAUUUUCAUGAACAGCUUUCAAGGAAUGAAGGAAGGAAAUGUUCUGUGUCCAUAAAGUAGGAUUGGAAACAGUUGACUUGUAUGAACAUGGCCAACACAAAAUAGUCCAGGGGGAUGUGGAAUAUUUGAGGAGAACAACAUUAGACUGAGAAAUUAUGACAGUCAGGAAAAGAAAAAUUGUACCAAAUAUCAAAGGACAUGAGUUUUUUUCAACAGAAAACUAAAGAGAUAGAUGGAACCUGUGAGUUCACUUCUAAAGGAGCAUUAAAAAAAAAUGAAACCUAGGAAAAUUUCUGGGAAGAACAUCAUUAUAAGGAGUGGAAAUAUAGUUUUCUUGAAGCAUUAGAUGCAACCAAUGAUGCUAUAAUGCAUGCUUGUUUAAGGGUUCUGGUAAAACAGUAUGGUUGUUAAAAGAUAAGCUCCAGAAUUUGAGACAGCAUAGAUGACAAGUUACAGAGAAACAUCUUGAAUAAAACUGCAGAAGUUGUUCAUGGGUAGGAUUUAUGGUAGAUCCUUGGAGACAGGGAGGACCCUUCUGAAUUCAGCAAAGCCAACAUAGCUUUAAUUACCAAGAAAAAGAGGAGUUGCAGAUUAGAAAAAUUUGACUCUGGUGAUAGGAAAAGUCACAGAAACUUGAUAUGAAAUAAGAUAAUAAACCAGAUGGAGAAAUAUGACUGAUAGAGCUAUAAGAAGUCUCAACUGUUUAAUUAAAAUAAACUCAUUUUGCUAAUGAGUUAGAUAUUUUUUUUGAAAAGGGAACGGAGAAGACAAGAAAAACUUCGUUAUAUUUCAGGAGCAAUCUGUCUCACCUGCUACACAAGGAAUAUUGCUAUGUGAAAACAAAGGUUUACUCAGCAAUCAUUCAGUGAUGGCGUUCCAAAUUUUCAGUUAUUUAUUUCCUUGCGUUGGAGUGAAUAAGAGUAAAUAACAAACAUAGUACUGACCAAUCAUCCUUAUCCAGCUGGAGCUGGUGAGACAGCAGAUUGCAAAAAUAUCAUUCAUUUAUCCAACAAACAAUGGUAGAAAGUUUAUGUGCCAAAUCCUGUGUUGGACACUAGAAAUUCAAAGAUCAGUAAGACAUUGCACCUCGAUGAGUUUACCAUGUGGGAGAGAUACAUAAUGCCAUAAUUACCAUCUAAUAUGACAAUAGAGCCCUCCUCACCAGUCUAUGGAGACAAAGAUAGACACUUAAUGCAGCUCGAAAGAGAGAAGUGACCAGUCAAGCCUUCCUUGGUUAGAGAGAUCCCAGCCAUGUUUAGAGUGACAGCAAAGAUUUCAGUGAUUUGGGAAAGAAGAGAGAUGCUUCACAUUUUAAGCACAAGAUAGUUUUCAGGGUGCAGAGAAGAGUAAUUUUUCUAAGGACCCAGAGGAUCCAGUAGACCUCUGUGGAUCAGGACACCUGGGAGAGUCCCAGACAUCAGGUCGACUGGAAGGUUCUUCCCCAACCAGGGCAUAUUCCAAGGCUCCAAGGCUCCAGCUCUCAGAAAGCUUUGGGGAAUGUUCUAACAG
rnacentral:antisense_RNA from 1 species